rnacentral:rRNA from 1 species
AGUGAACGCUGGCGGUAGGCCUAACACAUGCAAGUCGAACGGCAGCACAGUAAGAGCUUGCUCUUACGGGUGGCGAGUGGCGGACGGGUGAGGAAUACAUCGGAAUCUACUUUUUCGUGGGGGAUAACGUAGGGAAACUUACGCUAAUACCGCAUACGACCUACUGGUGAAAGCAGGGGAUCUUCGGACCUUGCGCGAUUGAAUGAGCCGAUGUCGGAUUAGCUAGUUGGCGGGGUAACGGCCCACCAAGGCGACGAUCCUUAGCUCGUCUGAGAGGAUGAUCCGCCACACUGGAACUGAGAAACGGUCCAGACUCCUACGGGAGGCAGCAGUGGGGAAUAUUGGACAAUGGGCGCAAGCCUGAUCCAGCCCUACCGCGUGGGUGAAGAAGGCCUUCGGGUUGUAAAGCCCUUUUGUUGGGAAAGAAAAGCAGCAGGUUAAUACCCCGCUGUUCUGACGGUACCCAAAGAAUAAGCACCGGCUAACUUCGUG